rnacentral:rRNA from 1 species
CCUACGGGAGACAGCAGUGAGGAAUAUUGGUCAAUGGGCUUACGCCUGAACCAGCCAAGUCGCGUGAGGGAAGACUGCCCUAUGGGUUGUAAACCUCUUUUGUCAGGGAGCAAUUGGCGCUACGUGUAGCGUUAUCGAGAGUACCUGAAGAAAAAGCAUCGGCAAACUCCGUGCCAGCAGCCGCGGUAAUACGGAGAUUGCGAGCGUUAUCCGGAUUUAUUGGGUUAAAAGGUGGCGUAGGCGGAAGUCCAAGUCAUCGGUAAAAUCGGGGGGUCAAACCUCGCUUCGCCGUUGAAACUGGCGUUCUUGAGUGGGGGAGAAGUAUGCGGAAUGUGUGGUGUAGCGGUGAAAUGCAUAGAUAUCACGCAGAACUCCGAUUGCGAAGGCAGCAUACCGGCGCCCAACUGACGCUGAAGCACGAAAGCGUGGGUAUCGAACAGGAUUAGAUACCCCUGUAGUC